rnacentral:rRNA from 1 species
GCGGACGGGUGAGUAAUGCCUAGGAAAUUGCCCUGAUGUGGGGGAUAACCAUUGGAAACGAUGGCUAAUACCGCAUGAUGCCUACGGGCCAAAGAGGGGGACCUUCGGGCCUCUCGCGUCAGGAUAUGCCUAGGUGGGAUUAGCUAGUUGGUGAGGUAAGGGCUCACCAAGGCGACGAUCCCUAGCUGGUCUGAGAGGAUGAUCAGCCACACUGGAACUGAGACACGGUCCAGACUCCUACGGGAGGCAGCAGUGGGGAAUAUUGCACAAUGGGCGCAAGCCUGAUGCAGCCAUGCCGCGUGUGUGAAGAAGGCCUUCGGGUUGUAAAGCACUUUCAGUCGUGAGGAAGGUGGUGUAGUUAAUAGCUGCAUUAUUUGACGUUAGCGACAGAAGAAGCACCGGCUAACUCCGUGCCAGCAGCCGCGGUAAUACGGAGGGUGCGAGCGUUAAUCGGAAUUACUGGGCGUAAAGCGCAUGCAGGUGGUUUGUUAAGUCAGAUG